rnacentral:rRNA from 1 species
GAUGAACGCUGGCGGCGUGCCUAAUGCAUGCAAGUCGAGCGAACAGACGAUGAGCUUGCUCCUCUGACGUUAGCGGCGGACGGGUGAGUAACGAGUGGAUAACCUACCUAUAAGACUGGGAUAACUUCGGGAAACCGGAGCUAAUAACGGAUAAUAUAUUGAACCGCAUGGUUCAAUAGUUAAAGACGGUUUUGCUGUCACUUAUAGAUGGAUCCGCGCAGCCUUAGCUAGUUGGUAAGGUAACGGCUUACCAAGGAAACGAUGCGUAGCCGACCUGAGAGGGUGAUCGGCCACAAUUGAACUGGGACAAGGUCCAGACUCCUAAGGGAGGCAGGAGGAGGGAAUCUUCCGCAAUUGGGGAAAGCCUGAAGGAACAACGCCGCGGUGGGUGAGGAGGGCUUCGGAGUGUAAAACUCUGUUAUUAGGGAAAAACAAGUGUGUAAGUAACUAUGCGCUGCUUUGCGGUAACUAAUCGGAGAGCCACGGCUAACUUCGUG